GGGAGAAGGGAGAGAGGAGAGAGAGACUGAGAGAGGAGGCAGAGAGAGACUCACUCUGUACCCAGGCUGGAGUGCAGUGGAGUAAUCACGGCUCACUGCAGCCUUGACCUGCUGACUUCAAGUGAUCCUUGCACCUCAGCCUCUCGAGUAGCUGGGACCACAGGUGCAGCCAGCUAAGUUUUAAAUUAAAAAAAAAUGUAGGCCGGGCGCGGUGUCUCAAGCCUGUAAUCCCAGCACUUUGGGAGGCCGAUGCGGGUGGAUCAUGAGGUGAAGAGAUGGAGACCAUCCUGAUCAACAUGGUGAAGCCCCGUCUCUACUAAAAAUACAAAAAAUUAGCUGGGCAUGGUGGUGCGUCCCUGUAAUCCCAGCUACUCAGGAGGCUGAGGCAGGAGAACUGCCUGAACCCAGGAGGCGGAGGUUGCAGUGAGCCGAGGUCGCGCCAUUGCACUCCAGCCUGGGUAACAAGAGCGAAACUCCGUCUCAAAAAAAAAGAAAAAAAAUGUAAAAGCCUCUUGAGUAGUGGAACCACCAUGCAUGGCUAAUUUUUAAAUAUUUUAUAGAGACGUGUAAUAUGGUUAGGCUUUGUGUCGUCACCCAGAUCUCAUCUUGAAUUGUAAUUCCCAUACUCCCCAUAUGACAAGGGAGAGACCAGGUGGAGGUAAUUGAAUCUUGGGGGCAGUUUCCCCCAUGCUGUUCUCAUGAUAGUGAGUUGUCACGAGGGCUGACGGUUUUAUAGGGGGCUCUUCCCCACCUUCUCUCUGCACAUUUCCUUCCUGCCGCCUCGUGAAGAAGGUGCCUUGCUUCUCCUUUGCCUUCCACCAUGAUUGUGAGGUUUUUGAGGCCUCCCCAGUCAUGCUGAACUUAGCAGAAGUUACCAAAAGGCAAGGACAUGGAUGGCAAAGGAGAGAGGAUGAAUAUUUGCUUCAGCUUGGCAAACUUUCCUGUCACUCUUAACUGACGGCUGUAGAGGCGCUAGGAAGAGGAGUGAGUCAAUUCUGAAAGAUGACAC
rnacentral:lncRNA from 1 species